rnacentral:sRNA from 1 species
AAUCUGUGCCGGUGUAAUAAAGUGCACAUGACUGUCAAUACCCCCAGCAGUAACGAUUUUCCCUUCCGCCGAAAUGAUUUCAGUGGAGAUACCGAUUGGAAAAGUGACUCCCGCCAUCACAAGGUCAUUACCAGCCUUGCCGAUGGCGAAAAUUUUACCAUCCCGUACACCGAUAUCCCCGUACACCGAUAUCGGCCUUAUAAAUACCGGUACUAUCAAGAAUCAAGGCAUUGGUUAGCACCAGAUCCGGGACGCCUUCGUCUCGAGUCAGCAAGGGAUUCAUUCCCAUGCCUUCACGAAU